GCUUGUCUCAAAGAUUAAGCCAUGCAUGUCUAAGUAUAAGCCUUUACACGGUGAGACUGCGAAUGGCUCAUUAAAUCAGAAACUGUUUAUUUGAUAGUGCCUACUACUUGGAUAACCGUAGUAAUUCUAGAGCUAAUACAUGCAAAAAGCCUGGACUUCUGGAAGGGAUGCAGUUAUUAGAUACAAAACCAACCCGGGCAACCGGUCCUUUGGUGAUUCAUGAUAACUUUGCGAAUCGCAUAGCUUUAAUGCUGGCGAUGGGUCAUUCAAAUUUCUGCCCUAUCAACUUUCGACGGUAGGAUAGA
rnacentral:rRNA from 1 species